rnacentral:rRNA from 1 species
CAAUAGCGUAUAUUUAAGUUGUUGCAGUUAAAAAGCUCGUAGUUGGACUUCGGAUGGGAUUUGCCGGUCCGUCGUUACGAUGUGCACUGGCCAGUCCUAUCUUGUUGUCGGGGACUAGCUCCUUGGAUUCACUUCCUGGGACUAGGAGCUGACGAGGUUACUUUGAGUAAAUUAGAGUGUUCAAAGCAAGCCUACGCUCUGAAUACAUUAGCAUGGAAUAACACGAUAGGACUCUGGCUUAUCUUGUUGGUCUGUGAGACCAGAGUAAUGAUUAAGAGGGACAGUCGGGGACAUUCGUAUUUCAUUGUCAGAGGUGAAAUUCUUGGAUUUAUGAAAGACGAACUUCUGCGAAAGCAUUUGUCAAGGAUGUUUUCAUUAA